UAGGAGGCUUGAACACCGUGAGCAGCUGC
rnacentral:piRNA from 1 species